GGGGAGGAGGUAGAAGAAGAUGAAGAUGAAGGUGAUGAUGGUGAAUUAGAAGAACAGGAGAACGAUAAUUCAGUAGGUAGAAUUGAAGCUGAUGUUGCUGCUGAUGGUUCUGGAGUUCGAUUUUAUCAACAAUUUGAUCAUGUUGAAUAUGAAGCUCUUGCUGCAAAAAAGCGUAAAGGACUUGGUGAUUGUGAGGGUGCAGGGUCUGGGAAGAAGGCUAGGCAAGAGGAUAUAUCUGGAGCUAGCAUGGAUGAAAUAAUGGAGGCCAUGAAUUAUGGUAUCAGGAGAAAGUCACGAAAGCUUAAGAAAAGAGGUAGGAGGAAAGGAUCAAAAAAUAAGCUCAGCCCUAAAAUUACAAAGAUGCUGGGUGAUGCUACUGUUCUCUAUGCACAUGGCCGCUAUGAAGAGGCCAUAUCUGUUCUGAAUGAAGUUGUUAGGCUGGCACCGCAUGUACCAGAUUCAUACCAUACACUUGGACUUGUCCAUAUCGCACUUGGUAAUACUGAAAAAGCAAUGGGAUUUUAUACAAUUGCAGCGCGCCUUAUGCCGAAAGAUUCACCUUUGUGGAGAGUGCUUUUUGACUGGCACAAUGAACGAGGAGAUGUAGCUAGAGCCAGGUUAUGCCUUUCUAAAGCUAUAAGGGCAGAUCCUAAUGACAUUG
rnacentral:misc_RNA from 1 species